rnacentral:rRNA from 1 species
CCUACGGGAGGCAGCAGUGAGGAAUAUUUGUCAAUGGACGUGAGUCUGAACCAGCCAAGUAGCGUGAAGGAUGACUGUUCUAUGGGUUGUAAACUUCUUUUAUAAAGGAAUAAAACGAGGCACGUGUGCCUUUUUGCAUGUACUUUAUGAAUAAGGAUCGGCUAACUCCGUGCCAGCAGCCGCGGUAAUACGGAGGAUCCGAGCGUUAUCCGGAUUUAUUGGGUUUAAAGGUAGCGUAGAUGGGUUGUUAAGUCAGUUGUGAACGUUUGUGGCUCAACCGUAAAAUUGCAAUUGAUACUGGGAGGCUGGAGUAUGGUUGAGGUAGGCGGAAUGAGUGGGGUAGCGGUGAAAUGCGGAGAGAGCACGAAGAACCCAGAUUGCGAAGGCAGC